UUUUUUUUUUUUUUUAAACAGAAAACUGUUAUCAGACACUUAUUCGAUGUUCUGGGAGGAAACUUGGCAGAAAGAAUUCAGUAAGCACUUUGAGACCGGUACCUGCCCAUAAGCCAAUUAAAGAGAUUAAGUGAAGAAGAAUAUAGAAGGAUAUGGCUCAGAAUAGAGAAAGGCACAAUUUAGGUCUUGCGAUGUUUCCGUAACACACAAACCCAAUCCCUCGCGGCUCGGUUUUGGCAGCAGCCCCAGGGCUGCGGGAGCCCCCGGCCCUCCCCGGCCCCUCUCAGCCCGUCCCGCCGGGGCAGGGGCGGAGCUGCCAGGCCCGGGCAGGGGGAGGGCCCGGCCGACCGGUGCCAACCACCGCCUUUCCCCGCGCUUUUGGCGGAUCUGGAGCCUCCGCGGUGCUUGACGUGAUCCUGCUCCUCAGUUCCCUUAGUCAAAACCAGCCGGUACCUUGGGGCUAAGCCGGAUUCCUUUGAUGGGGGGAAAAAAGGACCCUGUAUUUCCAGAAUCCGGCUUCCAGGCAGGAUGAACCCUUCCCACUCAGAUUUACAGGUGUGCAAUGAUAAUUACAUGGACCUAGUGAACUUAAUGGACAAUUUAGAGCUUAAUUAUCCUUAUCAUUAGAGAGCUGUUAUAAAGGCUGUUUCUGCAACUUACAGGUCUUUGUUCUAUCUCCAGCAGACAAGGGUAAUUUGUUUCCUUUACUGAACAGCCUCCUACAGUUUUAAAGAUAUCACAUCUCUGCUCAGUCUCCUCUGAAUAUCAGUUGGUAUGAUUUAGAAGUUCACAGUAUUCCAGGACACAAAGCAUCAUAUUUGGGCCAGGGGACCAGGCUACAUCCCUGCUCCAGGAAGAGGUUGCAACAACUAACACAACACGGCCAGCAGCCACACACACCACUCUAUGGACUGACACCACCCUGAGCCAUUGCAUUUCUGCUCCAAUGGACUGUCUCUAAUUAAACAGCAUUUUUAAGUCUGAUGUCUAGAACAGGGCAAGCUCACAACUGCAGCUCCAACUUAAUAGAAGAAUCAAAGCAUUACUCACACCUCAAAAGCUGCAUGAGGCCUGGGUGUCAACAUGGCACGAAGUUUUUGCAGCCAACAUCUCCUGCACUGCUGAUUAUUUCCACUUACUAAAAGGGGGAAUUUUAACUCCCAAGUAUUCCCACUGCAAGAGUAACAUGCUAGGACUAACAUAGUUGAGUUUUAGUGCUUCCAUUUUGCUCCCAGCAAGUUAAUGCAAACAAUGUAAUAUGUAAAUAUUACAUUAAAUGUAAAUAACACAUAUAUAAGAAUGUGUUAAAAAUACACAUUAUAACUAGUAAAGUGAAUAAAAUAUUAAAUGCAUACUGAAACACAGAACUUUAUUUCCAAUCCCACAAACCAGGCUCACAGACCCAUCACUGAAAGGAAGAGACUCACACUCAAAUAUAUGCUUAGUUUUAUUUAUAACAUUUAAGAAAUAUUAACAUCUCAGGAUAUCUGGUUUACCAUCUAAGUCCAGUCAUAAGCAACAAAAAAAAGAAAAUGUUAACCAUGUUUCAAAUGAACAUUCUUACAUUCAUUCCCCCCUGUAAAGAAACUUCAGCUUUAUUAAAUGUGUUUGACUAAUGUAAAAAAAAAAAAAAAAAAA